UCAGGCAGGGUCAGGCAGGACGUGGAUCAGCUCAGGCCUGUAAAAUGCCCGAGAGCUGCGGACUUACAGGAAUGGCCCAUCUAAGCACUGUCAAAGAGACUCCACCAUCUCAGGAAAUCUUGCAAUGGCAGUCCCCUUCUGGAGGAGCCCUCUUGGGAAGGAUCUAAGAAAACCCCAUGCCUGCUCUCUACGUGUGUACUACAUCAGGUCCAUGGGAAGCACUCAAGCCUCAUUUGCCUAAAACUCUGGGAGAACAACCAUCCUCAACACAGCAUCUCUUUGCCAUCAGAGGAACCACCAGCCAUG